rnacentral:rRNA from 1 species
GAGUUUGNNCAUGGCUCAGAUUGAACGCUGGCGGCAGGCCUAACACAUGCAAGUCGAGCGGAAACGAGUUAACUGAACCUUCGGGGAACGUUAACGGCGUCGAGCGGCGGACGGGUGAGUAAUGCCUGGGAAAUUGCCCUGAUGUGGGGGAUAACCAUUGGAAACGAUGGCUAAUACCGCAUAAUAGCUUCGGCUCAAAGAGGGGGACCUUCGGGCCUCUCGCGUCAGGAUAUGCCCAGGUGGGAUUAGCUAGUUGGUGAGGUAAUGGCUCACCAAGGCGACGAUCCCUAGCUGGUCUGAGAGGAUGAUCAGCCACACUGGAACUGAGACACGGUCCAGACUCCUACGGGAGGCAGCAGUGGGGAAUAUUGCACAAUGGGCGCAAGCCUGAUGCAGCCAUGCCGCGUGUAUGAAGAAGGCCUUCGGGUUGUAAAGUACUUUCAGCAGUGAGGAAGGUGGGUAUGUUAAUAGCAUACUCAUUUGACGUUAGCUGCAGAAGAAGCACCGGCUAACUCCGUGCCAGCAGCCGCGGUAAUACNGAGGGUGCGAGCGUUAAUCGGAAUUACUGGGCGUAAAGCGCAUGCAGGUGGUUUGUUAAGUCAGAUGUGAAAGCCCGGNGCUCAACCUCGAGAAUUGCAUUUGAACUGGCAAAAAGAGUACUGUAGAGGGGGGUAGAAUUUCANGUGUAGCGUGUGAAAAAGCGUANAGAUUUGAAAGAAUACCGGUGGCGAAANGCGGCCCCCUANACNGAUACUG